rnacentral:tRNA from 1 species
GGCCGAGUGGUGAAAUUGGUAUAGACGCUAGAUUCAAAAUCUGGUUUCCUAUGGAAGUACGGGUUCGACUCCCGUCUCGGCUACCA